rnacentral:rRNA from 1 species
AGCGAACGCUGGCGGCAGGCCUAACACAUGCAAGUCGAACGAACUCUUCGGAGUUAGUGGCGGACGGGUGAGUAACACGUGGGAACGUGCCUUUAGGUUCGGAAUAACUCAGGGAAACUUGUGCUAAUACCGAAUGUGCCCUUCGGGGGAAAGAUUUAUCGCCUUUAGAGCGGCCCGCGUCUGAUUAGCUAGUUGGUGAGGUAAAGGCUCACCAAGGCUACGAUCAGUAGCUGGUCUGAGAGGAUGACCAGCCACAUUGGGACUGAGACACGGCCCAAACUCCUACGGGAGGCAGCAGUGGGGAAUCUUGCGCAAUGGGCGAAAGCCUGACGCAGCCAUGCCGCGUGGAUGAUGAAGGUCUUAGGAUUGUAAAAUCCUUUCACCGGUGAAGAUAAUGACUGUAGCCGGAGAAGAAGCCCCGGCUAACUUCGUGCCAGCCGCCGCAGUAAUAC